UUGUGAAGUGCUGCACUCUAAAAGGUGCCAUUCAGGUAAUUAAAAUAUGAUUGGCACUUUUUUGAGUGUGGUAAUUCACAA
rfam:Ictidomys tridecemlineatus contig037602, whole genome shotgun sequence.